rnacentral:rRNA from 1 species
UACGAAGGGUGCAAGCGUUGCUCGGAAUUACUGGGCGUAAAGGGCUCGUAGGUGGCCAACUAAGUCAGACGUGAAAUCCCUCGGCUUAACCGGGGAACUGCGUCUGAUACUGGAUGGCUUGAGUUUGGGAGAGGGACGCGGAAUUCCAGGUGUAGCGGUGAAAUGCGUAGAUAUCUGGAGGAACACCGGUGGCGAAGGCGGCGUCCUGGACCAACACUGACACUGAGGAGCGAAAGCCAGGGGAGCAAACGGG